rnacentral:lncRNA from 1 species
AAUCGUGUGGACAUCACUGGGAAUGGAGGGAAAUAACUGACUGUAUGAUCGUUGCUUUUUAAGUUUCAAACUGACAUUCCAGGCGGGCUGUUGCUUGAGUGAGCAUCUGUCUUCAGAAUUUCACAGUGGGUUCCUGGGAAGGUGGAAGCCUCUCCCUGAUGGGUGAAGUGAGGAGCAGGAGGGGACCGACACGACAGAGGUGUGCAGCCUCCAGCAUCUCCUCCUUUGUGAACUGGAUCCUCCCCAAGGAGACUACGAGAUGAAAACUUCGGAGCCCGGGAGUGAGUGGCCAGCAGGUUGCAGACGUCAGGUGAUGGCCACCAGCCAGCAUGGAACACGCCCCCACAAGACACACAGCAGAGGUGCCACCUGGACCUCCCACCCUGUCAUCUCAAUGCCUUGGACCCCUGGCCAGGAUAUGUGGGGAUGGCACCCACCUGGGCACCCAGCUACUCAUCUGCUGUCUCACCAAUGAGGAGAAUGAAGAACACAGGCGGCAUGAUUGUCCACAUGGAAAAAUAAGUUUUCCUCCUCUCACUGGCCAUCUGGAGCAGGCAACUCUAUAUGAUGGAUCUGUGAAGUGUUCCUUGAAUAUCUCUGCCCAGAGUGCAACAAUGAGGCCGCUAAUUGAACAAUUCCAACAACCCCGUGGCAUCGUGUAAGUAGGCUGUCCAUGUGUAGGGGUGGGUGCUCUGUGGAAAAGCUUCCUUUGUGAAGGAGGGUGGAUUGGGCUUAAGAUUCUACCAAUUCUAAGAGUCUGUGAUUUGCUUCUUUUUUUACAGCCUGGCUAUAUUUAGAUUAAUGAAUUAUAUUCAAGAUGGACUCACCAAUUAUUUCUUAAAUGAGUUAUUUCAUUCAAAAGUUAUUGAGAGAGGAGUUCCCAUUGUGGCUCAGUGAAUUAAGGACCCAACAUUGUCUCUGUGAGGGAUUGAUCCAUGGCCUUGCUCAGUGGGUUAAGGAUCUGGUGUUGCUGCAAGCUGUGGUGCAGGCAUAUAGCUGCAGCUGUAUUUCAACCCCUAGCCCAGGAACUUCCAUAUGAG